UGGGGAAUCUUGCGCAAUGGACGAAAGUCUGACGCAGCCACGCCGCGUGAGUGAAGAAGGCCUUCGGGUUGUAAAGCUCUGUCGCCCGGGACGAACAUCUUUACGGUGAAUAGCCGUAGAGACUGACGGUACCGGGAGAGGAAGCACCGGCUAACUCUGUGCCAGCAGCCGCGGUAAUACAGAGGGUGCAAGCGUUGCUCGGAAUCAUUGGGCGUAAAGGGCAGGUAGGUGGUCUCAUUUGUCUCAUGUGAAAUCCUUGGGCUUAACUCAAGAAGUGCGUGAGAAACGGUGAGACUGGAGUUUCGGAGAGGGUCGUGGAAUUCCCGGUGUAGCGGUGAAAUGCGUAGAGAUCGGGAGGAACACCAGAGGCGAAGGCGGCGACCUGGACGAACACUGACACUCAACUGCGAAAGCGUGGGGAGCAAACAGG
rnacentral:rRNA from 1 species